GUUAUACCUGUUGAAGUGUUGAAAUUUAUGAAAAUAAUUCGGUAAUAUUAACACAGCAAUAUCGAAUUACGUACAACUAUUAAACCAACAAAUCACGAGAAAGGAUCGUCCGAAACUCGAUAUUUCAAUUCGCUUGUCAGAGUGACGUCAUCAAUGCUACAUUGUCAAAGGAAGUGAAGAAUGGUAAAAUGUCAGACACUGCAUUCAGAGGUAAAGACACU